rnacentral:rRNA from 1 species
GAUGAACGCUGGCGGCGUGCCUAAUACAUGCAAGUCGUGCGCUCCACUCGUGGAGAGCGGCGAACGGGUGAGUAACACGUAACCAACCUGCCCCUAAGUCUGGGAUAACUACUGGAAACGGUAGCUAAUACCGGAUAGGUAAUGGAGACUUAUGUCACUAUUAUUAAAGAUGCGUUUGCAUCGCUGAGGGAUGGGGUUGCGCAGCAUUAGCUAGUUGGAGGGGUAACGGCCCACCAAGGCAACGAUGCUUAGCCGACCUGAGAGGGUGAUCGGCCACACUGGAACUGAGACACGGUCCAGACUCCUACGGGAGGCAGCAGUAGGGAAUUUUCGACAAUGGGCGCAAGCCUGAUCGAGCAACGCCGCGUGAAGGAUGAAGGUCUUCGGAUCGUAAACUUCUGUUGUAAGGGAAGAACAGCUAGAGUAGGAAAUGGCUUUAGUUUGACGGUACCUUACCAGAAAGCCACGGCUAACUACGUGCCAGCCGCCGCCGU